rnacentral:lncRNA from 1 species
AAUUGCUCGAGCAGCUCCUGCUGAUGCCGGGCCUUGGGAAAAGAGGGCCAGUGGGGAGGGCCCACCCCUGAGCUGAGAGCUCCCUUUAUAAAGGUAAGUCCAAGCCCCAGAGAUUUGGGGGUCAGCAGGGGAGACAGCAGGGCUGAAGGUGUAGAGGGGGCACCCUGCACUUUAUACCUGGGGCAAUGCAACAACAAAUGUGCCAGGUAUGUGGACACACACCUAGAGGAAGAGUGCUGUGCACCCUCAAAGCCUGGUGAGGAUCAGCAAAGCAGCCCCUCUGGGAAGCUUGUUGGAAAGGCCAACUCUCAAGACCCUCCCCACCCCUGAUGCACCAGAACCUUCAGUCUGACAUAGCUCUGGGUGACUCCCCUGCUCCCGAGGUCUGGGAUGAGCUGCCUGAAGCACUGGCUCUCAAUCUGCCUGAUUGUCAGCACCACUUGGAGAGCUGGAGAAGUUCUAAAAAGACAGAUCUCUGGGUGCUUCCAUCCCUGGGAUUGUGAUUCAGUGCCUGGCAAAAGCAAAAUGGAAGACAGCUUCAUGGAAUGUAAGUUUUUAUUCAAAAAUUACAAACAUGUAUAAUGUGCAAGAGCCAGCAGGAACAAUGUACAGAGGAAAAAACCUACAGAGACUUAAGAUAUUAGAGUCACCAAACAUCACAUAAAGUGUGUCUUACACGUAAAGAAACAAGGGGAUUAAAGAGCAUGAGUAUGAAAAUAAUCAAGUAGAUUGGGAAAAAUUACCAAAUAGAAAUCUAGAUUUGAAAAAUACCAUAAUUGAAAUGGAAAGUUUAAUGGAUUAGUGUCACAGCCAACUAGAUACUACCAAAAAGAGAAUAACGGAUAUGAAGAAAUAAAUACAUUUUUAGACUUGUAAAGACUUAAGACUUUCUUACCUGGAGACCUGCACUACAAGAAAAAUUAAAGGAUGUCUUUUAGGCAGUAAAAGUAAGAAGGAUACCAUAUUGAAAUCUAGAUCUGCACAAAGGAAUGAAGAGCACCAGAAAUAGUAACAACAUGGACAAAUAUAUGAUUUGUUAUUAUUACUUAAACCUCUUUAAAAUAUUAUUGUUUAAACAAAAAUAAUAAAUUACUAUGGAAUUUAUGACAUGUAAAAUAAAAUGGAUGACAGUCAUAGCUUAAAGACUAGGAGGGAAGAAGUAUACGAUGUAGGUUUCUUAUACUAAAGUGAUAUAUUAUCACUUGAAGGUAGACUGUGAUCAGUGGAAGACAUGCACUAUAAAUCCAUAAGCAACCACUAAAAUAACAAGCCAAAGAAUUGUAGCUGCUCAGGAAAAAACAAACAAUCUCAUCAAAAAGUGGGCUAAGGACAUGAAUAGACAAUUCUCAAAAGAAGAUAUACUAAUGGCCAACAAACAUAUAAAAAAUACUCAACCUCGCUAAUUAUCAGGGAAAUGCACAUCAAAACCACAACAUGAUACAACCUUAAUCUUGCAAGAAUGACCAUAAUAAAAAGAUCAAAAAAUUAAAAUAGAUGUUGGUGUGGAUGUGGUGAAAAGGGAACACUUUUACACUGUUGGUGGGAAUGUAAACAAAUACAACCACUAUGGAAAACAGGGUGGGGGGUUCCUUAAAGAACUAAAAGUAGAUCUACCACUUGAUCCAGCAAUCCCACUUCUGGUUAUCUACCCAGAGGAAAAGAAAUCAUUACAUGAAAAAGAUACUUGCACAUGCAUGUUUAUAGCAGCACCAUUCACAAUUGCAAAAAUAAGGAACCAGCCCAAAUGCUCAUCGAUCAACGAGUGAAUAAAGAAAAUGUGAUAUAUAUGUGUAUAUGUAUGUAUGUGUGUAUAUAUGUGCGUGUAUAUAUAUAUACAUAUAUACAUGUAUAUAUAUAUACAUGUAUAUAUGUAUAUAUAUAUACACAACAUACAUGCCAUGGAAUACUACUUAACCCUAAAAAGGAACGAAAUAAUGGCAUUUACAGCAACCUGGAUGGAAUUGGAGACCAUUAUUCCAAAUGAAGUAACUUGGAAAUGGAAAACCAAACAUUGUAUAUUGUUACUUGUAAGUGGGAGCUAAGCUAUGAGGAUGCAAAGGCAUAAGAAUGAUACAAUGGACUUUGGGGACUUGGGGGAAAGGGUGGGAGGGGGUCGAGGGAUAAAAGACUACACAUUGGGUACAGUGUACACUGCUCUGGUGAUGGAUGCAUAAAAAUCUCAGAUAUUGCCACUAAAAAACUUAUAUACAAAACACUGCCUGUUCCCCACAAAAACCUAUUGAAAUAAAAAUAAAGAAGGGUAAAGAGGAACCAGAAAAAGAAACUGAAAAGCAACCAGUAAAGGAGAGUAUGAUGUUCACAAAGCCAAAGGAAAACAUUAUUUCAAGAAAAUGGUGGCCAACUUUAUCAAAUGCUGCUGAAAGUUGACAUAAAAUGGGACCUGAUAAACAGCCAUUGGAUUUAGUAAAGUGGCUAGCCCUGAUGACCUCACAAGAGUCCUUUGGGUGAAGUGAUAAGGAGAAAGCUUGACCAAAAGGGAUUUCUGAGAGAACAAAGUAGAGGGGUUGAAUGCAGUAAGCACAGGCAACAAUUUCAAGAAGCUUCACUCAAAAAAAGGAAUGGAGAAAAGGCAAGUAAUUAUAGAGGAAGUAGAGUCAAGAUCGUUGUGUUUAAUGUUCUAUAAGAAGAGAAAAAAUAACAGCAUGUUUGCAUGCCAAUGGAAAUCAUCCACAGAGAGGGCAAAAUUGAUAAUGUAGGACAUACAAGGAAGUAUUUCUGGAAUAAUGUCCUUGGAUUGGAAGUUAGGAAAAAGAAAUAUUGACUUUAGAUGAUAGAUCAUUCCAUUCAUCCAUAGUAAGUGGGAUAUGAGUAUAUGAGCACAAACACAAGUAGAUGGAUAGAUGUGUUCAUGCCAACUCUUAAGGUUGCUUUCAUGAAAUAAAGGCAACAUAGUACUUUUUCUCCACUUAAAAAUUUACAAUAGUUAAUAAUGUCUUAUAGAAUUAUGUGGAAUUCUUGAAAUAUUCAGUGAUUAAAAGAUUAUUUACUGAAGCAUGCGUUCUGCCACAUAUUUUUCUAGGCAUUGGAGGUAAACCAGAGACAAGAUUCAUACUUUUGGAAAGUGGGGACAAACAGAUGUAUAUCACAGGGCACAUAGCAAAGCCAGCUUUCAUAGGGAAGUGAGGAGUCAAGUUCAGAGAGAGUGGGCCCCGGGUCCACCAUUCUUUCAAUAUCUACAGAACUGGGGUUGUAGAGGGGAUGGUUUGAGGUCUUCUAGUGACUAAUUUGAAAUUGCCAUUCCAGAUUCAUCUCUCAUUCAGUCUUUGCCUACAUACAUAGCUUCAGCGACUGCCAAAUCUAACCACCCCAGUACAAAACUACACAAACAUUCCCAUGUGUACUGGUCUGUUUUUUUUUAAACUAACUCCUUAGCCUCAGUGCCCUUUUCCCCUUCUCAUAGCUUACCAUUAUUUUAACACCCUACACAAAUAACACCUCUUCAGCACCUUACUUCAAAUAAAAUGUAUUAUCUUAAGGUUUACAAUUAAAACAAAAAAGAAUUGUAGGCUGGGUGCAGUGGCUCACGCCUGUAAUCCCAGCACUUUGGGAGGCCGAGGAGGAUGGAUCAUGAGGUCAGGAGAUCGAGACCAUCCUGGCUAAUACGGUGAAACUCCGUCUCUACUAAAAAUACAAAAAAUUAGCCAGGUGUGGUGGCGGGCACCUGUAGUCUCAGCUACUUGGGAGGCUAAGGCAGGAGAAUGGUGUGAACCCAGGAAGCAGAGCUUGCAGUGAGCCGAGAUCAUGCCACUGCACUCUGGCCUAGGUGACAGAGUGAGAAUCCAUCUCAAAAAAAAAAAAAGAAAUGUGGCUGUUUAACAAGAGAGAUAAAAUGAGAUAAAAUGGUAUGAUAAAAAUACUUGAUUAAUUCAAAGGAAAAUGGAAAAAGGAAAUAAAAAACAGAUGAGAUGAAUAGAGAACAUAUGCAAGGUGAGUGGCUCAACCUAAUCAUAUCAGUAAUCAUAUUAAAGGUAAAUAGUCUAAAUACCCCAACUAAAAGGCAGAGAGUGUCAAAUUACAUUGAAAAACAAAGACCCAACUAUAUUCUGCCUAUAAGAAAGGCACUAUAAAUAUAAAGACACAAAUAGGUUAAAAGUAUAAAGAUGGAAAAAGAUAUACCAUGCUAAAACUAGUCAAAAGAAAUUUAGAGUGGCUAUAUUAAUAUCAAAAUAGAUUUCAGAGCAAAGAAUUAUUUCUAGGAAUUAAAGGUUAUUUCAUACUGACGAUGUGGUCAGCGAAGAAGAUAUAACAAUCCUUCAUGUUUUUGUACCUAAUAAGCCUUCAAAAUGAAUAAAAGAAAAACUAAUAAAACAUCAAAGAGAAAUAGAAAAAUGCAUAACUAUCAGAUAUUUUAAUAGCUCUCUCUCAAUAAUUAAUAGAACAAGUGGGCAGAAAAUCAGUAAGAAUGCAGUAGAUUUUGCUGGGUGCAGUGGCUCAUGCCUGUAAUCCCAGUACUUUGGGAGGCCGAAGUGGGCAGAUUACCUGAGGUCAGGAGUUCGAGACCAGUCUGGCCAACAUGGCAAAACCCCAUCUCUACUAAAAAUACAAAAAUUAGCUGGACAUGUGGCAAGCGCUUGUAAUCCCAGCUACUUGGGAGGCUGAGGCAGGGAGAAUUACUUGAACCCAGGAGGCAGAGGUUGCAGUGAGCCGAGAUUGUGCUGCUGCACUCUAAACUGGGCUACAGAAUGAGACUCCAUCUCAAAAACAAACAAACAAACAAACAAACAAAAAAGAAUAUAGUAGAUUUGAACAACACUAUCAGCUAACUUGACUUGAUUGAUAUUUGCAGAACACUUCGCUCUACAAUAGCAGAAUACAGAUUUUUCCCAAGUGCACAUGGAACAUUUAUGAAUCUAGACCACAUUGUGGCUGAUUUUUAAAAGUCUCAAUAAAUUCAAAAGCAUUCAUCAUACACAGUGUGUUCUCUGUGGAACAUACUGCAUAUGACGAAUUAGAAUUAAAUUAGAAAUCAGUGACAGAAAGAUCCUUGAAAAUCCCCAAAUAUCUGACAUCUAAUACACUUCUAAAUAACCCAUAGGUCAAAGGAGAAAUCUAAAGGGAAAUUAGAAAGCAAUUCAAAGUGAAUGAAAAUAGAAAACAACAUAGAAUAUAUGGGCUGUCACUAAAACAGUACCUAGAGGAAAAUUUAUGUCAUUAAAUAUUAUAUUAGAAAAGAAGAGAGGACUCAAAUCAGUGACUUCAGUUUUCACUUAAAGAUGGGAAAAAAAAGCAAAUUAAAUCCAAAGUAAGCAGAAAAAUGGAAUAAUAAAGAUCAAAGUGGGAAUCAGUGAAAGAAAAUAGGUUAGAGGAAAAUCAAUGAAUCCCAAGUCUUGUUCUUUGGGAAAAUCAAUGACAUUGAUACAUUUUCAGCCAGAUUGAUCAGGGAAAAAAGAGAGAAUUACCAGUAGAAGGUAUGAGAGAGGUGACAUCACUAAAGAUUCUACAGAUAUAAAGGGAUAGUAAAAUAAUACUAGGAAUACUUUUAUGCCAAUUAAAUUCAACACCAUGGAUAAAAUUGACAAAUUAGUUCAAAGACAAAUUACCAAAGUUCACCCAAGAAGAAAUGGAUAACUUGAAAACCCCUGUAUCUAUUAAAGAAACUCAAAUUCAUUUUUUACACUUGAUCUUAGGUAAAAGGCCUAGAAAUGAUGAAAAGUGUUGUUUUAAAACCUCCCUAUAGGCUAGGCACAGUGGCUUAUGCCUUUAAUCCCAGCACCAGCACCUUGGGAGGUUGAUGCAGACAGAUCACCUGAGGUCAGGAGUUCGAGACCAGCUUGGCCAACAUAGUGAAACCUCAUCUCUACUAAAAAUACAAAAAUUAGCUAGGUAUGGUGGCAGGCACCUGUAACCCCAAAGACUUGGGAGGUUGAGGCAGGAAAAUUGCUUGAACCUGGGAUGGGGGGUGUUGCAGGAAGUCAGGGACCCUGAAUGGAGGGACUGGCUGAAGCCAUGGCAGAAGAACAUAAAUUGUGAAGAUUUCAUGGACAUGUAUUAGUUCCCCAAAUUAAUACUUUUAUAAUUUCUUAUGUCUGUCUUUACUGCAAUCUCUGAACAUAAAUUGUGAUUUCAUGGACAUUUAUCACUUCCCCAAUCAAUACUCUUGUGAUUUCCUAUGCCCGUCUUUACUUUAAUCUCCUAAUCCUGUCAUCUUCAUAAACUGAGGAUGUAUGUCGCCUCAUGACCCUGUGAUGAUUGCAUUAACUGCACAAAUUGUUUAAACAAUAUGAAAUCUGGGCACCUUGAAAAAAGAACAGGAUAACAGCGAUGUUCAGGGAACAAGGGAGAUAUCCAUUAGGUCUGGCUGCCUGAGAGCCAGGCGGAACAGAGCCAUGUUUCUCUUCUUUCAAAAGCAAAGAGGAGAAAUAUCACUGAAUUCUUUUUCUCAGCGAAGAACAGCCCUGAGAAAGAGAGUGUGUUCCUAGGGGGAGGUCUCUGAGAUGGCCGCUCUGUGAACAUCUGCCUUUUAUGAUCGUCGAUAAGGGAUGAAAUAAGCCCCGGUCUCCUGUAGCACUCCCAGGCUUAUUAGGAUGAGGAAAUUCCCGCCUAAUAAAUUUUGGUCAGACCUGGUUAUCUGCUCUCAAACCCUGUCUCCUGAUAAGAUGUUAUCAAUGACAAUGCGUGCCCGAAACUUCAUUAACAAUUUUAAUUUCACCCCAGUCCUGUGAUCUCACUCUGCCUCCAUUUGCCUUGUGAUAUUUUAUUACCUUGUGAAGCAUGUGAUCUCUGUGACCCACACCCUGUUCAUACACUCCCUCCCCAUUUGAAAACCACUAAUAAAAACUGGCUGCUUUUGCGGCUUGUGGGGCCUCAUGGAACCUGCCGACAUGUGAUGUCUCCCUUGGAAACCCAGCUUUAAAAUUUCUCUCUUUUGUACUCUUUCCCUUUAUUUCUCAGACUGGCUGACACUUAGGGAAAAUAGAAAAGUACCCACAUUGAAUUAUCAGGGGUGGGUUCCCCCGAGGUUGCAGUGAGCUGAGGUCACACCUCUGCACUCCAGCCUGGGCAACAGAGCGAGACUCUCCCUCAAAAAAAAAAAAAAAUCCUGGCUCCGUGGCUCAUCCCUGUAAUCCCAGCAAUUUGGGAGGCUGAGGUGGGCGGAUCAUGAGGUCAGGAUGAGGUCAGGAGAUGGAGACCAUCCUGGCUAACACAGUGAAACCUCUUGUCUACCAAAUAUACAAAAAGUAGCCAGGCGUGGUGGCAUGAGCCUGGAAUACCAGCUACUUGGGAGGCUGAGGCAAGAGAAUCACUUGAACCCAGGAGGUGGAGGCUGCAGUGAGCUGAGAUCACACCACUGCACUCCAGCCUGGGUGACAGAGGGAGACUGUCUCAAAAAAAAAAAAAAAGAAUAACAUAAAAACCUCCCUAUAAAGAAAUUCAGGCCCAGAUGGUGAUAGUAGUGAAUUUUACCAAACAUUUAAGGGAGAAGUAAUAACAAGACUUCACAAACUCUUCCAAAAACUGAAGAGGAGGAAAUACUUCCCAACUCAAUCUAUGAAAUCAGCAUUACCCUGAUACCCUGGCCAGACAAGGAUAUUAGAAGAAAACAAAACUACAGACCAAUAAUCCUCAUGAACAUAGGGCAAGAAUUCUAUGCAAAAGUUUAGCAAAUGGAAUCCUAAAUAUAAUAGAAAUGUAAUACAUCAUAAUUAAGUGGUAUUUAUCCUAGAAAUGCAAGGUUGAUUUAAGAGUAAAAAAAUAAAUCAAUGUAAUUUACCACAUAAACAAACUAAAAAAUUAUAUGAUCACCAUAAUCAAUACAGAAAAAACAUUUUGCAAAAUCCAACAUCCAUUAUUGAUAAAAACUGAGGCAAAUUAGGAACAGAGGGAACUUCCUCAAGCUGAUAAAGGGCAAUUCCAAAAGUCCUUCAGCUAGCAUCACACUUGAUUGUGGAAGACUGAAUACUUUCCCCUUCACAUCAGGAACACACUAGGGAUGCCUGCCCUCACCACCUCUAUCCAGCACUGUAUUGGAGGCUGUAGACUGUGCAAUCAGCCAAGAAACAGAAAUAAAGGACAUUCAGUUUGGAAAGAAAGACAUAAAUGGUCAUUAUUCACAGACGACAUGACUGUCUGUGUAGAAAAUUCAGUGGAAUGUACAAGAAGUUAAUAAGUGUGUUUAUCAAGGUUUCAGGACAAAUUAGUGUACAAAAAUUGUUUAAUGAGAGCUUUGUAACUUAAUUGAAAAUUAAAAUGUAAUGCAUAUAUUAUUGGUUGGAUUAACCAUCCCAAAAUGUAUACAUAUUGCAAAAUAUCAUAUUGUACACUAUGAAUAGAUAAAAUUUGUAUUUGUCAAGUAAAAAAUGAAGAAAUUAAAAUAAAAAAAUUAACAACAUUUACAAUAGCAUGCAAAAUGUAAAGUACUUAGGAACAAAUCUGACAAAAAAUGUAAAAGGCCUGUACACAGAAAACUGUAAAACAUUGCUAUGAUAAAUUAAAGAAGCCAUAAAUAAAUGGGGAGAUAUAUGUUGUUCAUGAGUGAGAAGACUCAAUAUUGUUAAGAGGUUAUACUCUUAAAACACAGAUUCAAUAUAGAUUGACUACAAUCCGAAUCAAAAUCCCAGCAGGCUAUUUAUUCGUGUCUAGAUCCAGUCCAUCAAAGACCUGGCACCCACAACAAUCUGCCAACCCAUU